rnacentral:rRNA from 1 species
GAUGAACGCUGGCGGCGUGCCUAAUACAUGCAAGUCGAGCGAACGGACGAGAAGCUUGCUUUUCUGAUGUUAGCGGCGGACGGGUGAGUAACACGUGGAUAACCUACCUAUAAGACUGGGAUAACUUCGGGAAACCGGAGCUAAUACCGGAUAAUAUUUUGAACCGCAUGGUUCAAAAGUGAAAGGCGGUCUUGCUGUUACUUAUAGAUGGAUCCGCGCUUCAUUAGCUAGUUGGUAAGGUAACGGCUUAACAAGGCAACGAUGCAUAGCCGACCUGAGAGGGUGAUCGGCCACACUGGAACUGAGACACGGUCCAGACCCCUACGGGAGGCAGCAGUAGGGAAUCUUCCGAAAUGGGGGAAAGCCUGACGGAGCACCGCCGGGUGAGUGAGGAAGGUCUUCGGAUCGUAAACCUCUGUUAUUAGGGAAGAACAUAUGUGUAAUUAACUGUGCACAUCUUGACGGUACCUAAUCAGAAAGCCACGGCUAACUACGUG